rnacentral:tRNA from 1 species
CAGAGUAUAACUUAAAUUAAAGCACUCAGCUUACACCUGAUUAAUGUUCAGUAAAUUUGAACUACUCCGAG